CAGCAGCCGCGGUAAAACGGAGGGAGCUAGCGUUGUUCGGAAUCACUGGGCGUAAAGCGCACGUAGGCGGCUAUUCAAGUCAGGGGUGAAAGCCCGGGGCUCAACCCCGGAACUGCCUUUGAAACUAGAUAGCUUGAAUCUUGGAGAGGCGAGUGGAAUUCCGAGUGUAGAGGUGAAAUUCGUAGAUAUUCGGAAGAACACCAGUGGCGAAGGCGACAUACUGGCUCAUUACUGACGCUGAGGCUCGAAAGCGUGGGGAGCAAACAGGAUUAGAUACCCGCGUAGUCCCUGUCUCUUAUAC
rnacentral:rRNA from 1 species